CAACUAUUAUAUGUUCUUGGGUACCAUACUGGCAUACACGUAACAAGUUUUGUUUGUGUGUGACUGAUUGUCUGUCAUUCUCAUACGGAUAUACUGACAGAGCUAUUAUAGUGGCAAGCUAAUUUGUACUGGGCGAAUAACCCGAUAGGAGGAUGUGCGUCGUGGGUUCAUAGGCAUAUAGGUAAAAGUGGGUGUACGACAACAGUCGAGAUGUACGGCAUAUCUCAACUUCUACUGGUGGUAAAGAAGAAUGCAUUGCUCCGACGCCGGCAGCCUGGUCUUUUAGCAUUUGAACUGUUAUGGCCAUUGACUGUAUUUGUGAUACUGUGGAUCUUGAGAAAGGAGAUCCCACCAGUACCUGUACCAAACUGUAAUUUCAGUGAAC